CAUUAGAUGGCUGAAAGUUUAAGUAAUGGAAUUUUAAACCAUAUUAUAGUAAUUAACGAUUACUUCUAAUGA
rnacentral:tRNA from 1 species